CUAUACAUGCAGUCGAGCGAACUGAUUAGAAGCUUGCUUCUAUGACGUUAGCGGCGGACGGGUGAGUAACACGUGGGCAACCUGCCUGUAAGACUGGGAUAACUUCGGGAAACCGAAGCUAAUACCGGAUAGGAUCUUCUCCUUCAUGGGAGAUGAUUGAAAGAUGGUUUCGGCUAUCACUUACAGAUGGGCCCGCGGUGCAUUAGCUAGUUGGUGAGGUAACGGCUCACCAAGGCAACGAUGCAUAGCCGACCUGAGAGGGUGAUCGGCCACACUGGGACUGAGACACGGCCCAGACUCCUACGGGAGGCAGCAGUAGGGAAUCUUCCGCAAUGGACGAAAGUCUGACGGAGCAACGCCGCGUGAGUGAUGAAGGCUUUCGGGUCGUAAAACUCUGUUGUUAGGGAAGAACAAGUACAAGAGUAACUGCUUGUACCUUGACGGUACCUAACCAGAAAGCCACGGCUAACUACGUGCCAGCAGCCGCGGUAAUACGUAGGUGGCAAGCGUUAUCCGGAAUUAUUGGGCGUAAAGCGCGCGCAGGCGGUUUCUUAAGUCUGAUGUGAAAGCCCACGGCUCAACCGUGGAGGGUCAUUGGAAACUGGGGAACUUGAGUGCAGAAGAGAAAAGCGGAAUUCCACGUGUAGCGGUGAAAUGCGUAGAGAUGUGGAGGAACACCAGUGGCGAAAGCGGCUUUUUGGUCUGUAACUGACGCUGAGGCGCGAAAGCGUGGGGAGCAAACAGGAUUAGAUACCCUGGGAGUCCACGCCGUAAACGAUGAGUGCUAAGUGUUAGAGGGUUUCCGCCCUUUAGUGCUGCAGCUAACGCAUUAAGCACUCCGCCUGGGGAGUACGGUCGCAAGACUGAAACUCCAAGGAAUUGACGGGGGGCCCGCACAAGCGGGGGGAGCAUGUGG
rnacentral:rRNA from 2 species